rnacentral:rRNA from 1 species
GUAGGGUGCGAGCGUUAAUCGGAAUUACUGGGCGUAAAGCGUGCGCAGGCGGUUUUGUAAGCCAGAUGUGAAAGCCCCGGGCUUAACCUGGGAAUGGCAUUUGGGACUGCAAGGCUGGAGUGUGGCAGAGGAGACUGGAAUUCCUGGUGUAGCAGUGAAAUGCGUAGAUAUUAGGAGGAAUACCGAUGGCGAAGGCAGGUCUCUGGGCUAACACUGACGCUCAUGCACGAAAGCGUGGGGAGCAAACAGGAUUAGAUACCCUGGUAGUCCACGCCCUAAACGAUGUCGACUGGUUGUUGGGGGUUUGACACUCUCAGUAACGAAGCUAACGCGUGAAGUCGACCGCCUGGGGAGUACGGCCGCAAGGUUA